ensembl:lncRNA
AGACUAUUAGGAGCUAAGUCUAACAACUUGGAGAGCUAAGUCUGGCUAUUUGGAGCUAAUUCUAGCAAAAGACUCCUGAUUGCUUUGCUUCUCAAGAAAAUUAAAUAGAUUAGGGAACUUCCCAGUGAAGGUUCCUGCACUGAGGUACGGGAGGAGGGCAGCUCUGCUUUUCUCCAUCAGUGCUGCUGUCAGGACAGGACAUCUCCUCUACCUCUACAGUUAAUAGAAGAGCUAACCCAGUGUGAAAUGCAGAAGCUACUUGUAAAAUGAAAUAGCCUCAGGUUCCCUUGCCUGACUUCUCAGUGAAAUUAGCAUUGCCAGCCAUUGGAUAGAUUUACUGAGGGUAUAUGUAUCCACUUCCAAGUUCUAAUGCAGAAGCAUCAACUCUGAUAUUCACUGAAGCAGAAAAUACAGGAAGUCCUUUCAACUCAAGUCACAGGGAGGUCUGGUAACUCACCACUGCAUAUAUAAUCAGGUCUCUUCUGGAGCACCCAAUGGGAGUGUGAUUGCAUGGAGCCAAAGUUCCGAUCAGCAGCUCAGGACAGUAGCCCAGCAGUGUACAGACAAGGCUGAACAAACCACUUAGAAUAAGAUGGCCUGGCAACUCCAUUCAUUUUUAGAAGCCAAAGCAACUUCAUCACUUUAAAGAGCUCUUCAAAAAUCUGGGGAAAACUACUCUGUGUUUACUGCCUUUUGCUUUUACAAGAUAAAUUUAGGACUAGCAUAAGAAAGGCCAAUGUGCUGAUGAGAAACUGAUCUAAAUUCUGCUUCAGAUUAGCAAAAGAUUUGCCAGAAAUCUCAUUAGGAGACCCUGCUUUUGUCAGUUUUACAACUCAAUUGCAAUGUCUUCAGAGCCCUGGAUAAGCAUCACUGUCUGCACACACAAAUGCUUUUCCCAACCAAGCCCAUAUCUUCUAAGAUAUAGCAGUUAAUCAAGACCACCUUAAAUCCUCCAGUGGAUAGCAUUUAAUAGCAGUUGAAGUAAAAUUUAACCAUUUAGUGUUUUCAGCAGUAGAAAACAUGGUCUCCUUCUUAAAGUGAAAAAUUUCAGUGCUAAAAAUCCUUUAAAGCAUAAAGAAUAAUAUGUAUUAAAAAAAAAAGACAUGCAUCUUGGAACUAACACGUAGCCUUAGGUACAUUUGAUCACAUCUACCAUAUUUGUUUUACGCCUUGGUGAGAAAGUAUCAGUUUGGUUGGGCCUUUCCAACCCUCUUUUUACAGGCCUCAAAGUCGUGACCCAGGUGGCUGUAAGAAAUGGGUCAGACCACUGGGUUUGAGCACAGGAGAUGAAUUUUGUCCAGAGGCACAACAGUGUGAGACAUUGUGCUGUCAGCUCUGUACAUUUUUGACCACAGCAGAAUAGGUCCCAGAAAGCAGGAAAACUACAGCUCUGAAGCAUUUGUUGUUUUCAGAAGUCUGCAGCUGCCUUUGCUAAUGGAAAGCAAUUGAACCUCUGAUAUAACUAUAAUGGGCGUUUUUUUCCUCUUUGCCUUCUGUCCUCAGCUAUCCUAAAAUAGCCAUCUCGGUUUUGGUCAUGAGUUCUUCAAGGGGAAAUUAUGUUACUGAAUGGAAAACUUUUAAAUGCCAAUUAUUAUGUCAGUUUCCAAAUCUCUGGAAAAUAGUGUUUCUGAAUGGAAACUGACCCUCCUCUCCCACAGAUAACGCUGUCACUGUAGCAAAUAUCGUGUGUCUUGUGAUACUGACUGUCAGUUCAAAUUAAUUACCCAGGAUGUUUCCCCCACACCCUGCUGCAAGAUGUCACUGCUUAUAUUUAUAACCAGGCUCUACAAACCCAGCAGACUACAUAGGCAGAGUCUUGCCCUCAUUCUCUUCAUAAGCGUUUAUCAAAAAAAGAGAAAAGCACUGUAUGGCACAUUUCUCUUCCCCUACCAUCAUUUCUGCCAAAAAAGAAAAAAAAAAGAACAAAUGGUGUCAUAUAGGAGUUUGUAUAUUCAAAAAAUGAAUAGCAGGUUCCUGUGCUUUAGCUAAGCUCCAGACUACCAUGCAAUACCGGUUUAUAUUUAUGACCUGGACAGAUGUAAUCAAAGUGCUAAAAAAAAAUCAACUGUGUCAAAGUGUCAAUUACUACUUAACACCCAGGUUUACAAUUUUUUGGAAAGGUUGUUUUCUUGAAUGCUAGAGAUGAAAGAUUGAAAACCUUAGUUCUAGGAACUGCAUUUUUUAUGCUUCCUGGAGAUGUCUCCCUGAGGACCCAGAACACGAUGGUAUACUUCGUUAAGGAAAUAAAAGCUUCUCUACUU